UCUUUCUCUCACUUGUUGUUUUCAUAUUCCUUCUAAAAAGAAGUUUCGAGUCCGUUGUUAACUGAACGGAAUAAUAUUUACAUCAGUAAAUGAACUUUGAUUAAAAACUUAUUUUAUAAUGACCAGACUGGAUUAAGUGUCUUAUUGCAAACUUUCUUUCGUGACAAGUCAUUUGCUGUGUAUUGGAGCAGAUUUGGGGUAAAAAAUGAGGUAAAUAUUUUUCCAUUUUUACCAGUUGAAAAUGAUUACAAAAGUUUAGGUCUUCAAUCUGAUUUUUUUUUGUUUUUAAAAUACGUUGUUUCUAUUUAAUGAUUCGAUGUAAAGUUUUUGGCACGAUUUAAAUAUUCGGCCAAGAGAGUAGCUCUUAAAAAAUUUUAUCGAUAGCAAUAUCUUGGGAGAAAAUAAUACACAUAACUUGCAUCAUAUCUUUUCCAUUUUCUCUCUCACGAAAUACGUUUCACUUUGUCUAGAAAAAGAUGGUGGGUGUAUGCACACGUAAUUCGCCAAUGUACUCAUCGCCAUUCCCGUCCCCAGAGCUCUUUAAAAUUAAAAACUCAAAAGUUUAUUUCAAAGAGUUCUGUAGUCGAGCAUGACCAUGAAAUGUACACUAGCCCAAAUUUUUAAGUUGUUGAAAAUGCUUGCCGACUUUCAAUAUAAAUAGUAAUGUUUCAUUAGUAAGAUCUAAAUAAAGAAUUUACUGAAGUAAAUUCUUCAACUUAUGAACAAUUAUUAUCCUGCUUAAACUUAUCGUCAAUAACUACUGCUAUUAGUUUUAAAUACCGCCAUUAUGACUCGUAGCCACGGUAACAUGCAUUUUUGUGUUAUUUUAUUGUUCAUUGUCUUAUUAACUUAUUUUUUCGACUUCUUGCACACAUAAUGAAGGCCGGAGAAGCGGGAUGGAUUAUUGUUGUGUGAAAUACAGCAGAAAAAUAUUCACACAAUUAAAAUUAAUGUUGAUGUGGCUUUUGACAUAACAGGCUAAUCUGGUUGAUCAAGUAGCUAUUUUUGAUGCAAAACGUAAUCCAUUCUGUUUAAAUAUCAUUGAUUAACAGCUUGUUCCUUCCACAGAUAUAGCUUUACAAUUGUUUAGCUAUAGCUUGUAUGCGACAAGCUAUAGCAAUAGUUAAUAUGUAGAAACUUUAGGUGUUUUGCAGCAAAUAUUGCAAAUGUCUAGGCUGGCGAUCAAAUUUGGGACAAAUUCGUUAUAUAGGUAUAGUUGGGGAAUAAAAGGAGGAUUAAAUACUUGUAGUUGUGUUAAGAUACAACGCGAAUUUUCAUCACGAAAAUUCGUCACAAUAGAUGAAAACAAACAAAGGAAUCAAUAUUUAUUCAGUUAUCUUUUUGUAGAAUUAUUUGUGGUAUUUUAAUGUAAAGAUUGUUGACAGAAUAAUUUAUUGCAACGCAAACAACUAACACAAACAAAUAUUUAAAAUAAACAAAACAAUGUAAGCAAAUAACGUAAUCCGUUAACAAAUUCAAUUGUGAUGAAAUGUGUCUGACGUCAGCAUUUAAUGCGUUGGCAGCAAAUUUUCGCAAAAAAUAUUUCCAAUAGAAAACAGCCUGAAGAAUUUUUACGUCAUAUCCACAUGUCAAAACCAAGGUAAAAAAUAUCGAGAGAAUUUAAUUGCUCAAAAUAAUUCAUGGGAAAUAGUAUUGGAAAUGAGUGUUUUGAUCUUUUAGCGUGUCUGUAAACUCGCCGAUGUGGAAUAAUUUUAAUCAACUAAAAUUUUAAGUUGGAUUUUCUGUAAAACGCAUUAUAUAUGUAUAUACCAAACACGAUUCCAAUCCAGAAUUUUGGAAGAGAGUUCUUUUGCCGAGAGUGUAAAUAAACUUUGCAUUUCGGCACUUUCCAAGAUCGAAUUUAAAAUAAGCUUCACAGUAGAACCUUUAGCAAGCAGUUUUACGUUUAUUAAGUAGUUUUCCACCUAAUUGACGUGUGUUUAACGCUUUUAAAAUCAUACUUAAAAUUUUAGGAUAGUCAAAUUGUUAGCAUCACGCCUUACCAGUCGAUUUAGAAGACCUAAGAUUCUAAUCGAAAAACUGCAAACGCAUUUCUCUCAAUUCACCGUCUUAGCCAUUAGGCUAUGUCUUAAGUGAUCCUGAUUUUUUUUUAAAUUUGUCUUUGAGCUACCCUGCUAAGAAGUUGCAAAUAAUUCCUGCUAUUGAAAAUAGUUAUCCAGAGAUACAGUGAACAAAUGUAUUAAGUAAAUUUUAUUAUCAAAAAAAAAAAUUAAAAAAAAUAGAAAAAAUAAUAAAAAUAAAAUAAAUAUUAUAUUUAUAUGCUUCCUGAAUAAAUAUUCUUACCGGUUAGAGAAAGUGCAUACCAUCAUUAUAAGCGUACGGCUGCAAAUCAAUUAAGUAUGAUAAUCAAAAUCUUAAUUGUUCGCAAUCAACUUACAGAAUGGCACGCGUCAUUCUGAUUAUUAGAUCAAGCAUUUUAGAACGCUCUUGAUGAGAUUCGUUCACAAGUGGUACUGUACCACACUUGUGAACAAAUAUUAGAAAUAUGCACCAAUGCCUAAUUUGCAUGAUAUUUAUAUAUAAAACGUGAUGCCCCCAAACAAGAAAAGUAUAGAAAAAUUUUUUUUUAGGUGCAUUUUUAAGCGUAAUAUGUUUUCUAAGGCUUUUUUUUGUUGUUCAAGUUUUUCAAGUAAUUAUUCUGAUAAGAAUUUAUAUCUUUUGUAUCUAAAACAUUGUUAUAUGCAUCAAAAAUAUGAUUGAGCAAUCAUAAAGAACAAAACAAUGAAAAUCUAAUUAGACAGAGAUUGAGCCGUCAAAUUAGAAAAAGGUCACGACCUCAAGUAAAGUUUUGGUGAACUGUUAACAAAUUUUUGCUCGCAUAUAUUUUCGUGACCCUAUGUCUAAGGAAUAAUAUCUUGUUCAAAACUCCAGAUUUGAAGAUGUAAUUUAAACUUUUGUGGCGAAGACAACUUAAAUUAAAAAGAGUGAUUUGAUAUGAUUACAUUGUAGUGGUCUGUUAAUUGUGGUCUGGUACGUUUUAUUAAAAUUACCAAAUAUGAUAACGUGGUAGAAAAUGGGAUUAGCUAGAUGUUUGUUUUCAAAUUUAUUACAUUCAUGCAGAAUGAUGACAAGACCGCAAAAUGACGAUUAAAAGAACAUACAGUGUCACUGUCAAUAAUCUUAUUUGGGAAUUUAUUUUGACAGUUAAAAUAUAUUGAUCACAUAAAUGAACGACAACAAUUUGUACAACUAUUGGUGUCAGCUGUACAUAGCUAAUACGUGAUUGGGGGAGAAAUGGGCAUGGAAAACAGGAGGUAUAUAAUGUUGAAGGGAAAAAAACAUGUUAAUAUAUGCUUUCAUGAAGAAAAAGAUUUGAUUGUUCGGUUUAGUUGUUUUUUAAGGUGUUUAGAAUGUUUUUAAUAUAUUCUAUUAUAGAUAAAAUAUUUCAAAAUAAAAAGGGUUUAUGCCAUCUAAUACCUCUUUCAAAAUUAAACAGAAUUUAUUGGAAAUGAUAACUUUGAUAUUGUCGUUAAAGUAAUUUUUAUCUUGAGAGCUUGAUACGUAUUUUUAUAUAAGAAAAUACAUUAUAAGAAUAUCCUUUAUAAAUAUGUUCAAAAUGAAAGUAGGCAAAAUUUGCUCUUCUUAGAAUUUACUUAUUAACUCAUAUAAACUUUUAUCCUAUCAUUAAUAUAUGACGUUUCUCAGAUUUGAAUUAUUUUCCCCUACAAAAUGUGGUCGUCAAAAUCUGGUUAAACAGAGCACACCAGUUGCACAAAUGCACACCGUUUUAUAAAUAAUAAGAAAAACAUUAAAUUGGUUAUUUAUGUUAAAAAUAUUACCUUUUUUAUAUUUCACAAGUUCCUAUUCUCUUGAGGGGAAUUAGAAAUAUAGCACAUUUAAGUGUUUUCAUGAUGGCAGACUCUGAAAGUGUUAUUUUGUACUGUAGAAAGACUAAUUUAAAAAAGAAUUACUUUGCCCAUUUUAUGUCCAACUUAAAUGUACCCAAUUCUCCCUGGUUGACCUGCUCGCUGCAUUUUGUGCUCAAACGUUUUAGUCAAUGGCAAUUCUAAGGAGCACCGAUUUGGUUAUCACAAUUAUUGAAUAAUAAAAUCCCUUUUAGCUAAUCUCGUUCCUAAAGACGUAGUGACGAUUGACAUGAGUUGGCUUCUACAAUCUACAACAGACUCCAAGAAAGAAGAUUGACCCUGAGUAUUACUGAUACUAGAUUGUUAGAAGAAAAAAAAAAAUUGUUGAAAUGAAAGAAAAUAAAGAAAUUCCAUAGGAUUAAAAUACAUAAAUGUGAAAUUUUUUACAACUAAUGUCAUAAUCUAGGUCCUGGUAACAAAGUUGUUAUAGUUAUUCUACCUGAUAAGAAUCAAGAUAGAUCUGUAAUUUAUCGUCAUUAGCAGUGAUUACGUCACAUGGGAGAGUUGGAGGGCAUCAAAUAAUGUAUUUAUGAUUUAAUGAUGUAGGUUUGAUUGAUGGUAAGAUAAGGUAUAUAAAGUUGCAAGAAUAUGAUGUCAUAAAGAGAAACAAAUGAUCUGACGUAUAUACACGCCUUUAAUUUUAUCUCUCACAUAUUUUACACCUUUCUUGUUUUGUCAUCUUCAAUUGAUUAGUUGCUCGUUUUUGUUCUUCAUUAUUGCUUUUAAGUUAAAUUUCCACUCAAAAACGAAAUGGGAAGGAUCGGAACGGAUCGAAACAGACAAUUGUGAUUACAUUUUCAUUUCAAAUUCAAAUUUAAAGUUAAAAUCGUUUCAGCUUUUUUUUGGACUGGAAUGAAAAAGAUUUUAAAAACAAAUGAAAAAUUAGCGGAUAGCCAAUCAAAUUGAAGUAUUUCUCUUGUUCUCUACCGUUCCGUUUUGUCGUUGAGAGAAAAUUCAGCUUUAGCAACUUUACAGCUGACACAAGCAUACAAAACAAUAAUCAACAAUUUAGAAAUUCACGAAAUUAGAAUGGAAUAUUUUACCUGCCGCAAUAAAUUGCUUAGGUUCUUAUUGUUAAUUAAGGAUUGACAAACCCGUGCAAUUGAAGCUAUUUUAAGUUUGUCUCCGAGAUGUAAUUAAAAAGUAGCAAAUCUAAUUACCGAUAUUAAUAAAUAUGUAAAUUACAUCAUUAGGCAUUAUUAAGAGGUCGCUUUCAUAUUAAUUGGACCGCAUAUUAUCUAAGGUAUUCUAGCGUUUUGCUAACGAUCUUUGUAUGUAUGCUGUUCCGCCAAUCAGUUUUUCACAUGACGAAAUGACCCAAAUAAAAACGUUACCCUUGCGCAUUGGAAUGGCUUUGUACGUUCAGAAGUAACUACAUUUUUCAUUUUAAACUUCGCGCAGCAAAAAAAAACAUUAUUUCGCGCGUACUAAUUUUCGCGCAAUAGCAAUAUAAACGCAUUUCGCGCUAAUAAAUUUUUAGUCAAGGUUAAGCUCCCUCCACUAUUUCCAAAAAAAUUAUUUGUAAAAUUCAGGUUUUUUUGACAACAUAAAGAUGCAUUUUUUUAUUUUGUUUGAAACUAACUGUGAAAGCAUUUGGAUAUAAUAAUGAAUGCGCGGAAGAAAAGUUUGUAGGAAAGAAGACUGUGGAAGAAAUCUUUACGAAUUGCCUUGUAUUCGCAAACUUAAAUUUGCAUUUUUUAAACAAUGACGGCAUUCGCGUUUCUUUAUUUUGCAUUUUACUUUCACUCUCAAGUAAAUUAAGUAUAAUUCAAAUAUAUUUAAUUCCAAAUUUUUUUCCCCGCAAACUUAAAGCAGAUAAAAGUUUAAUAAAGGAAAUGAAAUUUAGGGCAAAGUAGACAAAAGAUAGAUAAAAGUAUGUUAAGUUAGUGCAAAGUAGACAAAAGAAAAGAAAAAUGUUUGAUGCAACUGCAGAACUAAAGAGCAUUCUGUUGGCAACAAAUGUUUUUUUUUUGUUAGCAUACUGCAAUUAGAAGACCAUUACCAAUCUAUGGUAUGUUUUGUCUUUAUUCAAAAUAAUUUAAUAGUACAUGAAAGUAGUCAUGAAAUAAUUAAAUAGUAUUGGCAUUAUUUUUAGACUGUCAUUUAUUCUUUGUAUCUUAUUAGGUUACACGACUAUCAAAAAUUGGGGGCGACAACACCAAAGAAACAACAAAUAAUGUUAUGAAAAACCUUAUGAGUUACGGACUGAUGUCUCUACUGAACAUGUGAGGAAAGGGAUUGAAAAAGAAGAAAAGCUUAAUGAAUACGCGUGUUGGAGAUUUGAUACUUGCGAGUGUAAUGUCCAGCAGGAACGGUGUUAUCACCGCCGAAAUAGAAAAUCAAAUGACAGCCAUAUUAAAGCAUGCCCCAGACCGGGAUGGCAGCAGAGGAAGAACUGCUCAGGAAGAUAUCAUGAACUCAUCACAUCAAACUGAUUUAAUUAUCAUUUAGGAAAUUUUUUGUAGAUUUUUUUAUUGUUUUUUAACAUUUUGUGUAAAUUAAAAAGUGUUUUAAUCAGGGAUGCAUCGAGGUUCAACCUUCUUUAUCGAAAAUCUCAUAAGCAGAUAAGCACGACGUCAUUGUCAUCAUUCUCGCUUUCCUGCUAGCAUGGAUUGGACAGGGCAUGCUAAAACCUUAAAUCCAUGAGUCAAUGUAUAACAAUAUAUUUAUAAUAAUUGCAAGUUGAUUUGUAUCAUGCAAGCACGUGAUGUCAUUUUGGAAACUACAAAAUCGAGAAAGUAUUGCACGUCACACGCCACAACUCUUUUUUUAUGCAUUUUUUUCAAAAGUUUCUAAAGAUUUUUUACUUAUAUCGUUCUUUAUUUAGUGAGUUUUAAAAUUCCUUACAUUGAUUCCACAAUAUUUUUCAAUGUAGUCUUAACUGUAAUAAUGUAACAAUUUACUGUAUAUAUGUAUGUAAUAUUUAUGUGUAUAUUUUUGUAAAGUUUUAUGAAGAUUGAUAUUUAUCGAGGCUUUUUGUCAUUUAUUCGUUGAGAGUGCCUAUAAACACCGUAUAGAUUCCGUACAAGGUUUUUUGACGUUGUUGCAACGUCAUGUUCCCGUCUCGCGUUGUUGUAAAGGGUUACUUUGAGGGUAUUAUGACGUUGUAGCAACGCCAUCUGCAUGCUGUGAACAGUUACUUUGAGGGUAUUACGACGUUGUUCGAACGUCUUCGCGAUGUUGCAAACAGGGUGCGAAAUUAACGUUGUAAAAACUUCACAAAACAACGCGAUUCCCAUUUUCAAUUUGGAUGCAAC